GGAUGAAUAUUGGUCAAUGGGGCGCAGGCCUGAACCAGCCAAGUCGCGUGAGGGAGGACGGUCCUACGGAUUGUAAACCUCUUUUGUCGGGGAGUAACGUGCGGGACGGGUCCCGUAUUGAGAGUACCCGAAGAAAAGACAUCGGCUAACUCCGUGCCAGCAGCCGCGGUAAUACGGAGGAUGCGAGCGUUAUCCGGAUUUAUUGGGUUUAAAGGGUGCGCAGGCGGCGCGCCAAGUCAGCGGUCAAAGUUCCGGGCUCAACCCGGUGUCGCCGUUGAAACUGGCGUGCUCGAGUGCGUGCGAGGAAGGCGGAAUGCGUUGUGUAGCGGUGAAAUGCAUAGAUAUGACGCAGAACUCCGAUUGCGAAGGCAGCUUUCCAGCGCGCUACUGACGCUGAGGCACGAAAGCGUGGGGAUCGAACAGGAUUAGAUACCCUGGUAGU
rnacentral:rRNA from 1 species